rnacentral:rRNA from 1 species
ACGGCUCAGUAACACGUAGCUAACCUAACCUUAAGUCAAGAAUAACCUCGGGAAACUGAGGACAUGCUUGAUAGAAAAUUUUUUCUGGAAUGAGAAAUUUUUGAAACUCGAGCUUAAGGAUGGGGCUGCGGCUGAUUAGGUAGUUGUUGGUGUAAUGGACCAACAAGCCAAUGAUCAGUAAGGGCUCUUAGCGGAGAAGCCCUGAGAAGGAAUCUGAGACACUAUUCCUAGCCCUACGGGGUGCAGCAGCUAGGGAAAUUUUACAAUGCUCGAAAGAGUGAUAGAGCAAGCCAGAGUGUUUGAUUUAAUCAAACUUUUUUCUGCUGUAAAAAUGCAGAAGAAUAAGGACUGGGCAAGACCGGUGCCAGCCGCCGCGGUAAUACCGGCGGUCCAAGUCGCAUCCAUAUUUAUUGGGUCUAAAACAUCCGUAGCUUGUUUUGUAAGUCUCUUGUGAAAUCCUGCAUCUUAAGUGUAGGGCGUGCAAGAGAUACUACAUUGCUAGAGACCGGAAGACGUAACGAGUAUGAUUGAGGUAACGGUAAAAUGUGUUAAUCUUAAUCAGACUAACAAUGGCGAAGGCACGUUACGAGUACGGUUCUGACAGUGAGGGAUGAAGGCUAGGGGCGCAAAACGGAUUAGAUACCCGUGUAGUCCUAGCAGUAAACACUGCUCACUAAACACUAGUACCUCCUAGAGAGGUAUUAGUGCUGAAGGGAAGCUGAAGAGUGAGCUACCUGGGAAGUAUAGUCGCAAGGCCGAGACUUAAAGGAAUUGGCGGGGGAGCAC